rnacentral:rRNA from 1 species
GACGAACGCUGGCGGCGCGCUUAACACAUGCAAGUCGAGCGAGAACCAGUCCUUCGGGACUGGGGAAAGCGGCGAACGGGUGAGUAACACGUGGGUAAUCUGCCCUCGGCACUGGGAUAGCCCGGGGAAACCCGGAUUAAUACCGGAUAGCCUUUCGAGCCUUCGGGCUCGUCAGAAAAGGUGGCUUCGGCUUCCAGCGGAGGAUGAGCCCGCGGCGGAUUAGCUUGUUGGUGGGGUAAUGGCCCACCAAGGCGACGAUCCGUAGCUGGUCUGAGAGGACGAUCAGCCACACUGGGACUGAGACACGGCCCAGACUCCUACGGGAGGCAGCAGUGGGGAAUCUUGCGCAAUGGGCGAAAGCCUGACGCAGCGACGCUGCGUGCGGGAAGAAGGCCUUCGGGUUGUAAACCGCUUUCAGGAGGGACGAAGCCACUCGGGUUAAUAGCCCAGAGGGUGACGGUACCUCCAGAAGAAGCCCCGGCUAACUACGUGCCAGCCGCCGCUGUAACAC